rnacentral:rRNA from 1 species
CAGGCUUAACACAUGCAAGUCGAGGGGCAGCAUUUUAGUUUGCUUGCAAACUAAAGAUGGCGACCGGCGCACGGGUGAGUAACACGUAUCCAACCUGCCGAUAACUCGGGGAUAGCCUUUCGAAAGAAAGAUUAAUAUCCGAUAGUAUAUUUUCUCCGCAUGGCGAGAAUAUUAAAGAAUUUCGGUUAUCGAUGGGGAUGCGUUCCAUUAGUUUGUUGGCGGGGUAACGGCCCACCAAGACUACGAUGGAUAGGGGUUCUGAGAGGAAGGUCCCCCACAUUGGAACUGAGACACGGUCCAAACUCCUACGGGAGGCAGCAGUGAGGAAUAUUGGUCAAUGGACGAGAGUCUGAACCAGCCAAGUAGCGUGAAGGAUGACUGCCCUAUGGGUUGUAAACUUCUUUUAUAUGGGAAUAAAGUAUUCCACGUGUGGGAUUUUGUAUGUACCAUAUGAAUAAGGAUCGGCUAACUCCGUGCCAGCAGCCGCGGUAAUACGGAGGAUCCGAGCGUUAUCCGGAUUUAUUGGGUUUAAAGGGAGCGUAGGUGGAUUGUUAAGUCAGUUGUGAAAGUUUGCGGCUCAACCGUAAAAUUGCAGUUGAAACUGGCAGUCUUGAGUACAGUAGAGGUGGGCGGAAUUCGUGGUGUAGCGGUGAAAUGCUUAGAUAUCACGAAGAA